rnacentral:rRNA from 1 species
AACCCUGAUGCAGCGAUGCCGCGUGAGUGAAGAAGGCCUUUGGGUUGUAAAGCUCUUUCGUCGGGGAAGAAAAUGACUGUACCCGAAUAAGAAGGUCCGGCUAACUUCGUGCCAGCAGCCGCGGUAAUACGAAGGGACCUAGCGUAGUUCGGAAUUACUGGGCUUAAAGAGCACGUAGGUGGUUAAAAAAGUUGAUGGUGAAAUCCCAAGGCUCAACCUUGGAACUGCCAUCAAAACUUUUUAACUAGAGUAUGAUAGAGGAAAGUGGAAUUUCUAGCGUAGAGGUGAAAUUCGUAGAUAUUAGAAAGAACACCGAUUGCGAAGGCAGCUUUCUGGAUCAUUACUGACACUGAGGUGCGAAAGCAUGGGUAGCCAAGAGGAUUAGAUACCCUCGUAGUCCAUGCCGUAAACGAUGUCUGCUAGACGUUGGAAAUUUAUUUUUUCAGUGUCGCAGCAAAAGCGUUAAGCAGACCGCCUGGGGAGUACGACCGCAAGGUUAAAACUCAAAUGAAUUGACGGGGACCCGCACAAGUAGUGGAGCAUGUGGUUUAAUUCGAAGAUACGCGCAGAACCUUACCAACACUUGACAUGUUCGUCGCGACUCUAAGAGAUUAGAGUUUUCGGUUCGGCCGGACGAAACACAGGUGCUGCAUGGCUGUCGUCAGCUCGUGUCGUGAGAUGUUGGGUUAAGUCCCGCAACGAGCGCAACCCUCACUUUUAGUUGCCAUCAUUAAGUUGGGCACUCUGAAAGAACUGCCAGUGAUAAGCUGGAGGAAGGUGGGGAUGACGUCAAGUCCUCAUGGCCCUUACGUGUUGGGCUAC